rnacentral:rRNA from 1 species
UACGUAGGGUGCAAGCGUUGUCCGCAAUUAUUGGGCGUAAAGAGCUCGUAGGCGGCUUGUCGCGUCGGCUGUGAAAACCUGGGGCUCAACCCCGGGCCUGCAGCCGAUACGGGCAAGCUAGAAUUCGGUAGGGGAGACUGGAAUUCCUGGUGUAGCGGUGAAAUGCGCAGAUAUCAGGAGGAACACCGGUGGCGAAGGCGGGUCUCUGGGCCGAUAUUGACGCUGAGGAGCGAAAGCGUGGGGAGCGAACAGG